UGCUGGUCGAGAGCGGGAGCGACAAU
rnacentral:piRNA from 1 species